rnacentral:rRNA from 1 species
UACAGAGGUCUCAAGCGUUGUUCGGAUUCAUUGGGCGUAAAGGGUGCGUAGGCGGCGAGGUAAGUCAGAUGUGAAAGUCCUGGGCUUAACCCAGGAAGUGCAUUUGAUACUGCUUUGCUAGAGAACUGGAGAGGAGAGUGGAAUUCACGGUGUAGCAGUGAAAUGCGUAGAUAUCGUGAGGAAGGCCAGUGGCGAAAGCGGCUCUCUGGACAGUUUCUGACGCUGAUGCACGAAGGCUAGGGGAGCGAACGGG